CCUACGGGGGGCAGCAGUGGGGAAUAUUGCACAAUGGGGGGAACCCUGAUGCAGCGACGCCGCGUGGGUGAAGGAGUACUUCGGUACGUAAAGCCCUAUCAGCAGGAAAGAAAAUGACGGUACCUGACUAAGAAGCCCCGGCUAACUACGUGCCAGCAGCCGCGGUAAUACGUAGGGGGCAAGCGUUAUCCGGAUUUAUUGGGUUUAAAGGGUGCGUAGGCGGUUUGAUAAGUUAGAGGUGGAAUGUCGGGGCUCAACCCCGAAACUACCUC
rnacentral:rRNA from 1 species